rnacentral:lncRNA from 1 species
GAUAACUAGAGAAAGUCCCUGCCCUCGAGGCGGCCAGGCCGAGAAAACGCAAUGCUCGGAGCCAUCAGAGAGAGUUUGAAGAAGGAAGGCCCCCUAAAUCCUCCUCGAGGAGGUGGGUGAGACUCUGUGGAGGCACUGCUGACUUUUGUGUUGACUCUUGAAAGAGAAGUUUGUUGGAUGGAGCACAUGCUCCUGCCACUAUCAAACACAGGCCCAGCUGCCAGGGAUACAAGCUGGAACCUUGGGUGGAUGGAGGACGUUUCAAAUGUGGAGCCAGGUGCCAGAGUCUGCAGUCCUGGAAUGAUCAAAUCAAGCAUCGAAAGGCUGCCCACAAUGCAUGUGGAGACUUGGAGCUGAAGAAGCUGACCACCGGGUAAUGCCAAUGGGUGCAGACAGAAAAAGGCCCAGCAAAAGUCAUCUCUCUAGGAAAGGGGCAGCCUAGGAAGACGGAAAAUUUUAGAUAUUAAUCUCUCUACUGUAGCUAAAGACCACAGGAAAAAGUUGUGACCCCAGCCCUGCCAGGAAAUGUCAAGUAGAGAGCAGAUGCUUUGACUUGAGGCUGUAAUGAGCCCUCCCCAAGCCUCCCAAGCCCCUGGCUGCACCCCUGCCAGGGGAUGUCAGAGCAGGCUGAGUAGGGAGCUGGGACUUUCAUCUCCGCUGAGUAGUAACGAGGGCCACCCUCCAGCAGCGUCAGUGGAGACCUCACGGGGAGCAUGGGCUUCCGCCCCCACGAGGCAAUAAUGAGGCUACCUUCCCAUCCUCCCUGGGUGGUGUCAGAAGAUCUAGUGAAGAAUUAAGACUUUCACUGUCACCCAGCA